CGGAGGAACAUGUGGUUUAAUUCGAUGAUACGCGAGGAACCUUACCCGGGCUUAAAUUGCACUGGACAGGCUCAGAGAUGGGCCCUUCUUCGGACCAGUGUGAAGGUGCUGCAUGGUUGUCGUCAGCUCGUGCCGUGAGGUGUCGGCUUAAGUGCCAUAACGAGCGCAACCCUUGCCAUUAGUUACUAACAGGUGAUGCUGAGGACUCUAGUGGGACUGCCAUCGUAAGAUGUGAGGAAGGUGGGGAUGACGUCAAAUCAGCACGGCCCUUACGUCCGGGGCUACACACGUGUUACAAUGGGAGGUACAGAAGGCCGCUACCCGGCGACGGGACGCCAAUCCCCAAAACCUCUCUCAGUUCGGAUUGGAGUCUGCAACCCGAUUCCAUGAAGCUGGAUUCGCUAGUAAUCGCGCAUCAGCCACGGCGCG
rnacentral:rRNA from 1 species